rnacentral:lncRNA from 1 species
GAAGGGUUGCUGUUGAAGCUUGAGGAGUCAUCUUCAGUUUCAAUGAUGUCAUGUUGAGAUGGCUAGACUUUAAUCGCACCUUUGUCAUGUUUUGAUGGUUGAGAUGGCUAAACAUUAUUUUGCACUUUUGGAUUAGGAUUUGAGUUCAGAGAACUUUAAGAUUUGAUGCAUCUAGCUAUGUGAUAUCAAAACUCAUUUUGGAACCAAAUAUAAAUAUGCAUGUCGUGUCUUCCUUUUGGUACAGCUCUAUGUGAUAAUAGCCCUGGAUAGAUUAAGCUCUAUAUGUGCUGCUAUUUCUUCUUAGCUGCCUAAACUGUGUUAGGUUUGUUUCGAGAGUUUAUGAAAAAAUAUGAGCCAGUCAGUACAGUUUCAUGCCAUGAAAGAAGUACCUUAAGAUCUCUCUUGAUGUCUCCUUUGCCAUCAAGCUCUCUCAAUUCACGCAUUGCCUCUGAUAUCUACUUGGGCCUUGUUUAGUUCUGAAAAGAUAUGUGAUUAUGGUACUGUAGCAUUUUGUUUUUAUUUGACGAAUAUUAUCCAAUUAUGGACUAACUAGGUUUAAAAGAUUCAUCUCUUGAUUUACAGGCAAACUGUGCAAUUAGAUUUUGUUUUCGUCUAUAUCUAAUGCUUCAUGCAUGUGCUUUAACAUUUGAUGUGAUGGGGAAUCUUGAAAUUUUUUUAAAUUUUGGGGUGAACUAAAAAAAAGGCCUUGGUACUCUUGACUAAGGUGCCCUUGAGAAUUCUCCUAGCUAGCGCAUUUGCAGUUGCGUCAUGCUUCCAUUUUUUUUUUUGCAGUUCUAUACGUCAUGUUUGUUUGCCUGAUAAGUUAAGAUAGAAAGUAUUGUUGGCUGAUUUAUUGUGAGAGAAUAGAAAGUAUUGUUGGCUGAUUUAUUGUGAGAGAAAAAUACUGUUGAAUGGGUUGCAAGACUGAUAAGCUUAAACGAAUAGGUUUAUCUCUCUUGAUUAUUACUGAAUAGUAAUAUAGCAAAAGGAAAUGCACAAGUUGAGCAGUCGUGGGCAGAAUGCUUUUUUCAGUGUCAGGCCCAGCAUUUUUUAUAUGGGUAUGUGAAGAUAGAAAAGCUGUAUCUAUCCUAUACUCUUAUCUAUCCUAUACUCUUAUUCCUGUAUACUCGGCCUCUCCUCAUAAAACACUGUAUAUGAACAGUCUCUCCUCACAAAACACUGUUCUAAGAACAGUACACCCACCAGCACCCUCCGAUCCACAGCCUCGCUCUGCACGGUACAUGCACCUGUGCUUCCAGAAACUCCAGCUCCUCCGUCUCCCUUUCCUCUCUCCCUGCAGCAUCCAUCUCCCCUCCCUCGCCCGGCAUCGGGACUGGGAGAGGUAGUGAGAGGCUAUUUUAGAAGUGUUAUUUGGAAUUUUGGAUCCAUGCCAUUGCAACUUUCGUGCUUCCGCUUGCCUAGCUCUAAUGUCCAAUGGGCUGUGCUGGGCUGGCCCAACAUCAUGCCAUGCUGUGACGUGCCGCAGAUUGCUGAACUACCAUGGGCCGUGUCUAGCGGGCCGUGUCUUUACGGGCUUUGUGUCUGGCCUUCGGCGUAAGGCACAGCCUGUGGGCUGAUUUUCAUGCCGUGCUGGUCCACGAUCCAUCAAACUGACAACAGAUCAUUUUAAUCAAUAUCUUUACCAAAUGCUAAAAUACUUAAUCAUUUUCACUAAUAUAACAAUUAACAACAUAUAUAUAUAAGUCAUUACUACGCCAACAGUUUAUGUUCAUCGUGUCGUAUUGCGUGCCUCGGUGGCGACCCCGGCACGACUUGGUGCCCUUGGGCUGGGUCGGCCCGAUGGCUAUUCUGCCGUGCUCGGAUCGGGCCAAAUCACUGGGCGAUGGGCUGGGUCAUCGGGCCACGGGCCAUAAGGCCAUGUAUACCUAGCUCUCACCCAAGUCUACAAUACUUCAACUACAGAGCAAUUAUUAUUUAGAUAAUGGAAACAAAUGUUUCGGCUUCAUUGUUUCUCUAGGAGGAAGAACAACACCAAUUAUUACAAGCUCACACUAAAGUGAAAAACCAAGGAACCUCUCCUGAUAUUAUUAGACUGUCUCCAAUAGCUCUCACCCAAACACGAGAGGCAUUUGUUAAUUUAGGUCAUGCACAUGGAAUAGGUCUCUCACCCAAAACUUCUCAUUUCCAACAGGGAACGCAAAAUCACCCACCCAAACGCCCCAGCCAAGCCCCGCCGAGCGCCGCUGCCUCCGUGUUGGCUGCUCCUCGCCAUGUCGGAGGGUCCUUGCCGCGGACUCGCCUAGCUCGUCACGCCGAAGGCUCCUCGCACGGACACGCCACGCCGGCCGCACCCCACCCCCGGCCAAGCCCCACCCGCCUCCGUGCUAGCUGCUCCUCGCCGAGCUGGCCCACGCCCCGCCAUGGAUCCAACUCGCCGUGCCGGAGGCUCGCCGCCGCGGACUCCCCUCGCCACCGGAGGCUUCCCGCACUACCUCGCCACGCCGGCCACACCUCGCCAUGGAUCCACCUCAUAUUGCCAUGGAUCUGGUAGAGGGGAUGAGGUAGACUCGCCUUGGCCCACCGCAACGACCGCGCUCACCACCACCAUGUCCGACGGCGGCCUCGUCCACUACGGCAGCUCCCUCCCCAUCCCUGGUUCUGGCCGUCCCCUUCCCUCGUGGUGGUGGGCCCCGCGCUGCAAGGAGGACACAAAGACAUGGAGGGAGACGCAUUUUUGCCUCACGUGUUGCUCGACACCUAAAAUGGGUGUUGCGUUUGGCUUCUCUGUUGGAGACUGCUUUUACACCGUAUGUCACCUAUUUUGAGUAUGCGUCUUGCUAUGCAACUCUGUUGGAGAUAGCCUUACAAGCUCACACAAAAGUGAAAAACCAGGAGACCAUUCCUAAUAUUCAAGACGAUAAAUGAAACAAAAUAAUUAUUUCAUGAAGUGUUUUGGAUGUAACAGAGGAAAAACAAAGGAAUUUUAGAGUAAGAUGUUCCUUGGCAAGAUAGAGUUAGGCUGUUAGAUAAAUCUAGUACUUCACAGUUCAAUUUAUUUUUCCUACAAAGUUCUUUUGUUCCAAGGAUCCUUAAAAUAAAAAUAAAAUAUUCACAACAUACAGGCGGUUUGUUCAUAAGAUAUUUUUUUUUUAAAAAAAAACAUAAUUGGAAAAGGUAAGAAAAAUUGGAAAAGGUAUAGCUAAUAAGUGGUUAGAUAAAUCCAAUCCUUCAGAAAUUUGAGUUAGACAUAAAGAAGAUUAGUUUUCAAUAUAUUUGGAGAGAGACAGAACUUUUAUAGGACUCCCUAGAAGGUUUGAUGGCAUUUCUCUUUUCCUCGUAAUAAUAAUGCAUGGUUGGCAAAAUGGGCCUGGUGUGAGUAAGAGGCCAGGCAGACGCAAAUAGAUUAGAAAUUUUGUUUACUUCCAUCCCAAAACCUAAAAUUUUCAAGAUUCUCCAUCACAUCGAAUCUUUAGACACAUGCAUGAAGUAUUAAAUAUAGACGAAAAUAAAAACUAAUUGCACAGUUUGGUCGAAAUUUACGAGAUAAUCUUCUGAGCCUAGUUAGUCCAUGGUUGGACAAUAAUUAUCACUAACAAACGAAAGUGCUAUGGUUUUUCUCUCGAGGAACUAAACACGGCCCAAAAGGCCCACGCAAGAUUCAUGCGCCUACGCUAAUGAGGCCCAGUAUUGACUUGUCAGGCCUACAUUAAUUAUGUGGGCUUUGCUAAAGUUGGUUGGAGAUAUACAUACAGUACAAAUGUACUAUACUACGUGUUGUUUACAUUUUUUCUCUCUCUCUAUGAAGGUAUGUCUCUUCGUUUCAUGGUUGGUGAGCUUCUUCUUGGUUAGGUUCAUAGCCAGUUGAAGUUUCGUGAAGAUGCCGCGGAUUACAGUGAUGUUGCUCGUCAUAACGAGAAGCCACGUUCCAAGAGUGAAAGAGUGGCCUUUUUAGGGGCAGCUUUAAUAAUGGGAUGGCUAGAAUAGUUUGUAUGCUAAUAAUUGUAGUGCUAAGUGAGCAAAAUGAUAAUAUAUAUAGCAUUAGAAUUAAGUGAGCAAACAUGUUUGUGAGUCGGGACACGUCAAGUACUCAAGUAUAUAGAAAUAUAGAAUUGAACAUACAAACCGGAGACAGAAUUGUUCGUGGAACAAUCGAAAGACACAGGGAUUGGAGUAAUCGCAAGAGAUUAAAUUAAAACCAACAAAGUCUGCCUGCUCCUCCGCCGGAACCCACCGCCACGUCACUCCAAAUUUUUUCGGCCAUCGGAUCCUCCGUCGGAUGGUCCUGAUUUGUUAAGUCAGAUUUUACCAGAAUCUGAUUCUCCUACUUCACCUUACCUUCUUGGCUUUUUCUUAGCUUCUUUCUGGCUUCUUCCAAUUCUCAUCGGAAUCCACCCAAAUAGAUAUAUACUCAGUUUUGGCUUCACUUCCCGAAAGCUUCUCUUCCCCUCCUCUCUCUUCCUCCUGUUCGCUCUCUCUCGCUCUCCCUCUCCGACGCGUGCAGGGGGCGACGGCGGCUGCGUGCGUCUUCGGCGACGGCUGGCGCAACGGCGGCGCCCACCAUCCUCCUCCUACCCAGCCCUCCCUCGCCUGCCUCUCAUCUCCGUCUCUCCCUCCCCUUCCUCUCUCUCUCUUCCAUUCUCUUCCCUUCCCUUCUGAGAUGGCGGCUGCUACGAGGCGGCGGUGGUGGCCAGGGGCAGCCGGCGUGGUUGGAGCCUAGCACUCCCUCUCCCACAUCUUGCGUGCGGAGCACCUGAACACCUUCUCCCUCUGCUUUGUUUGCUCGUGUGCUACAGGUGCUACAGGAAACCCUAGCUGCCUAUUUUCGAGCAGGUCGCGUUCAUUCUAUUGGUUCAGUUGUUGAUCAGUUUGAUUAGUUCAUGGUUUGUUCUGUGAGUUCCGAUUUAUUUUGAUGGGUUCAGGUUCGACUUCCAGAUGUGCUGAUCCUGCAAGGUCGUUAGUUUAUGGUUUCAAGUAUGAAUUUAUAUUUGUAUUAGUGGGUUCAGGUUCAAUUUCAUACCUAUUCUAUUUUGACUGCGUAUAUUAAAUAUGUCCUUAUCCUGCAAUCCAAUAUCCUUAGGCUAACUUUUUUUUUGCCUUUAUCAAAUAAAUAGGGGCUUCAUGCUCUGUUUCUGAAUCCUCACAGAUUCAUGAUUUUGAAGUGAAGGUAGCAAAUGUUUUUGCAGGAUUGGCAUUACGUAUUAAAGUGCAAAGUCGUUAGUUUAUGGUUUCAGCUGUGAAUUUAUAGUUGUAUUGAGGUCCAAUUUCAGACAUAUUCUAUUUUGACUAGGUAUAUUAAAUAUGUCCUUAUCCUGCAAUCCAAUAUCCUCAGGCUAACCUUUUUUUUGCCUUUAUCAAAUAAAUAGGGGCUUCAUGCUCUGUUUCUGAAUCCUCAUAAAUUCAAGAUUCAUGAUUUUGGAGUGAAGGUAGCAAAUGUUUUUGCAGGAUUGGCACUACGUAUUAAAGUCAGGAUAUUGACGAAGGCACUAUCUGUUACCUUGCAGCAGACCGGGUAUAUUUUCCCUAACUGCAAAUCCUAUUUCAAAUCCAUAUAUAAUCAGUACGUCUUCUCAACUAGCAAUGCAUUGGUUUAGUACUAAAUGUUUAAAACUCACAACUACCGUUGAAUUGUUUUCCUACACUUUCAAGGAAUCCCUUAUUAUUAUACUCUGCAAUACUGAUUGAGCCAUCAAAUAUGUGAUUCAUUUUCCUACUGAAUCCUGCACCAGGUUGGCACACUUUGCCUCUGCUCUUCACUAAUCGGAGUGGAUUCUAUGAGCAUUCUCUAUUUAUUUCACCUGUGCUAGGACACCAUAUCUACAGUUUGUUGUGAAUCUCGUAUUGAUACAUUGCCUAUUGUGAAUCUCGUAUUGAUACAGUGCCUACUUUCCGGUUCAUUCAUCUUGUCCUUUUUUAUAUUGAUUGGUGGAAUGUUGCCACACUUUGCCUCUACAUAUAAGUUAUAGUCUCAUAGGAGAUAUGACCACCUAUUGAAUCAGUUCUAUUUUAGCUCAAAGUAAUAUUGUGUCGUGUUAAUUUCAGUACUGUAGUAUCAGGCCUAGCAAUGAUUCAUGAGUUCUCAGCAAAAGAUAACAGUAGAUAGAAAAUGCAUUCAUACCUAUAAAUGCUAGAAGCAUUACAAUUGCUAAAAGUAACCAUAUACAAUUGCCAAGCCAGGAUCAAACCUUAUCAUGGAGGUGGUGGUAUUUUUUUCAUGAUUCCCUUUCCCACGAGUUCCUUAGUUAUGUAAUAAAAAAAUUGGUCAAGCUCUAUUUAUUCACGAGAUUCUUCCUACAGAUGCAGCAAAUCGCUACUGUGUCCAAUUCCAAAGGGUUUAGUGGUCUACCAGGAAUUCUGUGCCUGGCUGAUAUGUUGGGAUGCCUGCCUAGCAUAAAUCACUGCUGAGCCAAAUUCCAAAAGGGUUUAGUACUCUAAUGGAAAUUUUAUACCUGCCAGAUAUGUUGGGGAUAGUUUUGGAAGCGUGUCUCUAUUAAAGCUUGGUUUGGCUCAGAUAUAUUGGGGAUAGUUUUGGAAGUGUGUCUCUAUUAAAACUUGGUUUGGCUCAGAGAAUGCCUAGCAGACAUGCUAGAUGGGAUUCCUUUUACUGAAUCUUGUCGUAUAAUGUUGCUAAACUAGAAAUAUAUGUCUACCAUUUUCAAAGCAAAAUUUGUCAAUAAAUCUUAUUUUUUGUAUUUUUUCAGUAAGUGCUUAUAUUUAGAAGGUAGCACUACUCAGACAUUUAUUUAGUUUCCUGAAUAUUUUUUGUCAAAAGAGCAUCCGUAAAUUCAGGUGGAGCACUAAAAUUGUUCCUAUUUUUGAUAAUUAACUUCCGGAAUGAAUCCAUGGUCAGUGCAUUUCAUUUUGCAGCCUGCUUACCUCUAGAUUUAGUCAUUCGGUUGUCCAUUGCUACCUCCCUGUGCAAUUUUUUAAGCCCACUGAAGCUAGCAGUAGCAGCUGGUCUACUUUCCAAGAAGUUUAUCUUCUCGGUUACCCUCACCGAACACUCAUAUACCUCUAGGUCAAGGAGGCAAUACCUGAUCAAGUCCAUUUUAGAUAGACCGGACAGGCAUACCUCAUCAUUAAAUAUUGUUACCUCUGCAGCGGCUGCACAGAUUGUUCCAGUUCCAGUAACCAGUUCCAUACAACCAGCAAGUUCACUUGGUACUCCAGAGUACGCAGCCUGAACCACAGCCUGUAUCCUUUGACUGUGGAACUAAAUCGGUAUGUUAUAUUGCCUCUUUUUAAUUAUUCAUGCUUCGUUACAUACGUCUACACCUGCAUAACCUAUUUUCUGAUUUCAUACAUAGACACCUGCUCCAGCAGCUGUCCCAGAUGAUACACCUCUAAAGGAUCUUAUCACCAAGUAAGUCACACUGACAUGAAAAUUACCCAAGAGAAAAAUAGCUUGUUUACCUUUCCAAUUGUUUCCAAAAAAGUAUUGUUACCAUAUGAUUUAGGUCGCCAACAGGAACAUCACACGCUCAUAGGAAACUGUUUCGAGAAAACACUCUCACUGAAAAGGUGGGUUCAUACAUAUCUUCUGCCCUGAACCUCAAAACUUUAGCACAGCAGAACUUAAUAGACUAUUUUGCUUCCAAUUUACAGGAAACCAUAGCGGAUCAAAAUUUGAACGCAAAGGGAAUCAUAAGGAUAACCACAAUGGUCCAAUUGAUCCACUACUGCAGCGCAAAAGAAAAAAAGGUAAAACUAUAAGCCCACUAAUUUGGCUUAAUUCAUUCGGCCAUAUCCGAUUGCUCAUAUAUAUGUAUAUAACUCACGGAGCUAAAUCUGUUGCCUCCAAGCAUUAGUCAAAGGAGAGCUCUGACAGUGCAUCUUUUUUUUUACGAAAACUAUUGAUAGGAAAAUGCCAGGCAAAUGCAUUAAUAUAAAAGAGCAAAGUGCAUCUUAGAUUAAUGCCCAAGCCUAGAGAAACAUUAUAUGUCUCAUUUCUUUUCUUUGUUAAAUAGCUGCAGUUUAUAUGCAGCCAACUGCUCCUCAAUCUAAACUCAAGCUAUUUUUUUUAAAAAAAGAACUAGAGAGGUUUGCACCCCUACAACAAUAACAUUAAGAAAGGCAAGCAGUUGUUACAGAGCAACUAGAAACUAGAAAGACUAAAAAAACGAACAAAAAGUAGGACCCAAGAAGAAAAGAACCAGGAAACCCCAAAAAGAAACUAAGAACACCAGUUCAGAGACCGCUCGCAGCCUAACUACUGAAGAUCUGCAAUCCAUUGGUUUAACCCUGGUAAGUGACUACGUUCAAGCUAAUUGACACAUAUAUACCAUGUUCAAUAUUCGUUGGCUCUUCUAAGUUCCUUGCAAAUUUACUGAAAUUAUUUGUGUCUUUUUGUGUUCCUUAGGCCAUUUAUAAUUGAUAUAGUACUUCACGGUUAUUGUAUACCUCAAAAUCUUCCUUCUCAUAUAAUCUGUUUAGUUCACAAAAAAAAUGUUCAAUCAAUAAAUUUUCCUAUCUGUGACAUGUGCAGGGAG